rnacentral:pre_miRNA from 1 species
GAUCCGGCGUCGUCGGGUUGAGUGGAGUUGAUGUCAUACCAUUCACAGGUUGAUCUCUGAUGGCAUCAGCUUCCUUGUAGAACGGAAUGGUAUCG